rnacentral:rRNA from 1 species
UGUAGUCAUAUGCUUGUCUCAAAGAUUAAGCCAUGCAUGUCUAAGUAUAAGCAAUCUAUACGGUGAAACUGCGAAUGGCUCAUUAAAUCAGUUAUCGUUUAUUUGAUAGUACCUUACUACUUGGAUAACCGUGGUAAUUCUAGAGCUAAUACAUGCUAAAAAUCCCGACUUCGGAAGGGAUGUAUUUAUUAGAUUAAAAACCAAUGCCCUCUGGGCUCUCUGGUGAUUCAUGAUAACUCGUCGAAUCGCACGGCCUUGCGCCGGCGAUGGUUCAUUCAAAUUUCUUCCCUAUCAACUUUCGAUAUUUGGGUAUUGGCCAAACAUGGUUGCAACGGGUAACGGGGAAUG